GGCUGCUUUAACAUGCAAGUCGAACGGCAGCACGGGCUUCGGCCUGGUGGCGAGUGGCGAACGGGUGAGUAAUGCAUCGGAACGUGCCCAUGUCGGGGGGAAUAACGUACCGAAAGCUACGCUAAUACCGCAUACGCCCUGAGGGGGAAAGCGGGGGAUUCUUCGGAACCUCGCGCGAUUGGAGCGGCCGAUGUCGGAUUAGCUAGUAGGUGAGGUAAAGGCUCACCUAGGCGACGAUCCGUAGCGGGUCUGAGAGGAUGAUCCGCCACACUGGGACUGAGACACCGCCCAGACUCCUACRCGAGGCAGCAGUGGGGAAUUUUGGACAAUGGGGGCACCCUGAUCCAGCCAUGCCGCGUGAGUGAAGAAGGCCUUCGGGUUGUAAAGCUCUUUCGGCCGGGAAGAAAUCGGCGACUCUAACAUAGUCGCUGGAUGACGGUACCGGACUAAGAAGCACCGGCUAACUACGUGCCAGCAGCCGCGGUAAUACGUAGGGUGCGAGCGUUAAUCGGAAUUACUGGGCGUAAAGCGUGCGCAGGCGGUUUUGUAAGACAGAUGUGAAAUCCCCGGGCUUAACCUGGGAACUGCGUUUGUGACUGCAAGGCUAGAGUACGGCAGAGGGGGGUGGAAUUCCACGUGUAGCAGUGAAAUGCGUAGAGAUGUGGAGGAACACCGAUGGCGAAGGCAGCCCCCUGGGCCUGUACUGACGCUCAUGCACGAAAGCGUGGGGAGCAAACAGGAUUAGAUACCCUGGUAGUCCACGCCCUAAACGAUGUCGACUAGUUCGUUCGGAGCAGCAAUGCACUGAGUGACGCAGCUAACGCGUGAAGUCGACCGCCUGGGGAGUACGGCCGCAAGGUUAAAACUCAAAGGAAUUGACGGGGACCCGCACAAGCGGUGGAUGAUGUGGAUUAAUUCGAUGCAACGCGAAAAACCUUACCGACCCUUGACAUGUCCGGAAUCCUGGUGAGAGCCGAGGGUGCCUUCGGGAGCCAGAACACAGGUGCUGCAUGGCUGUCGUCAGCUCGUGUCGUGUGAUGUUGGGUUAAGUCCCGCAACGAGCGCAACCCUUGUCACUAAUUGCCAUCAUUUGGUUGGGCACUUUAGUGAGACUGCCGGUGACAAACCGGAGGAAGGUGGGGAUGACGUCAAGUCCUCAUGGCCCUUAUGGGUAGGGCUUCACACGUCAUACAAUGGUCGGUACAGAGGGCUGCCAAGCCGCGAGGGGGAGCCAAUCCCUUAAAGCCGAUCGUAGUCCGGAUUGUAGUUUGCAACUUGACUACGGAAGUCGGAAUCGCUAGUAAUCGCAGAUCAGCAUG
rnacentral:rRNA from 1 species